rnacentral:rRNA from 1 species
CAGGGGGGGCUAGCGUUGUUCGGAAUUACUGGGCGUAAAGGGUUCGUAGGUGGCUGACUAAGUCAGACGUGAAAUCCCUCAGCUUAACUGGGGAACUGCGUCUGAGACUGGUGAGCUUGAGUGCAGGAGAGGAACGCGGAAUUCCAGGUGUAGCGGUGAAAUGCGUAGAUAUCUGGAGGAACACCGGUGGCGAAGGCGGCGUUCUGGACUGCAACUGACACUGAGGAACGAAAGCCAGGGUAGCAAACGGGAUUAGAUACCCCGGUAGUCCUGGCCCUAAACGAUGAAUGCUUGGUGUGGCGGGUAUCGAUCCCUGCCGUGCCGCAGUUAACGCGUUAAGCAUUCCGCCUGGGGAGUACGGUCGCAAGGCUG